rnacentral:tmRNA from 1 species
GGGGGCGACAGGCUUCGACAGGGGCUUGUAUAGAUCUUUGGAUGCACGUCGGGCUUUUUGUGUGGUGAGCUCGUUAAAAAAACUAUACAAAACACAAAUGCUAAUCAAGAAUUAGCUCUUGCUGCCUAGUUAACUCUAGACCAGAAGUGUCUUACCGGAAGUCAGCUUGUAGCGACCGGCCGAGGCAUAACUUAAUAUAAGCUAGGACGCGUUCACCAUCUGCGGACGCGAUCCGAAAUGUUAGCCAGGUUGGCCUAUGAAGAGGUCUUGCCGAUUUAUUUACUCUUCAUGGGCGAGAAAAAGUGAACCGGAUAAACGUGUAGAUUUCACUGGUCGCAACCUUUGGAUGCGGGUUCGAUUCCCGCCGCCUCCACCA